rnacentral:snRNA from 1 species
AUCACUUCUCGGCCUUUUGGCUAAGAUCAAGUGUAAU